GCCCAGGUAGCUCAGUUGGUAGAGCAUCAGGCUCUUAACCUGAAGGUUCAAGCCCCUCUCUGGGUG